rnacentral:misc_RNA from 1 species
CUUCUAUUUCAUUGAUCUCUCCCCGUUAAUUCAAUUCCUCAGUUACUGAAAACUUGAAAAAUGCUUAUGGUAGAACCUGCCGCCGUCGCCGUUCGUUUCCCCGCCGGUAACUUCAACCGCACCUCCCGCCGGUUUUCUCACGCCGCCAGUUUCUUCAUCCCUCGGAAUAAGAUAAGGAGGUUGACAACGGAGUAUUGUGGUGGUAGAAUAAGAACGGGUAAGGGAAAAUGUGGAAUUAAAGCAAGUGCGAGAGAUCAGCCUAAUGCGAGUUCUGGACCAGUGAAACAGAAUGCGAAGCCAUCCAGGUAUCAUCCGUUUGAAGACAUUUCGGAUUCGGAAAAUGGGGAGAAUGAGGAAGCUCAACUGUCGCCAGCUGAAACUGCUAGAACAAUCAUUGAGGUAAACAGCAAAGCAACACUCAUGUUUUCAGGUGUGGUCAACAAUGAAGUGCAGGAGAACAUUUUCUGGCCAGACUUGCCUUAUAUAACUGAUGAACUUGG